rnacentral:rRNA from 1 species
AUACGUAGGGGGCUAGCGUUAUCCGGAAUUACUGGGCGUAAAGGGUGCGUAGGUGGUUUCUUAAGUCAGAAGUGAAAGGCUACGGCUCAACCGUAGUAAGCUUUUGAAACUAAGAGACUUGAGUGCAGGAGAGGAGAGUAGAAUUCCUAGUGUAGCGGUGAAAUGCGUAGAUAUUAGGAGGAAUACCAGUUGCGAAGGCGGCUCUCUGGACUGUAACUGACACUGAGGCACGAAAGCGUGGGGAGCAAACAGGAUUAGAUACCCUGGUAGUCCACGCCGUAAACGAUGAGUACUAGCUGUCGGGGGUUACCCCCCUCGGUGGCGCAGCUAACGCAUUAAGUACUCCGCCUGGGAAGUACGCUCGCAAGAGUGAAACUUAAAUGAAUUGACGGGG